UCUCGAUUGUAAAAGGCUGGAUCGCGGAUAGGGAGCGCGAGCGUGAAGAAACCGGCCGCCAUCUUACGGUGCUCACAACAGUCGCCGCAGCGAUCAUGGCAACUUCUUGCAAUUACGGUCGUACCAACCGUACUGGCAAGGUUACAGGGCCUAAAUUUAUACAGGUUUCGUCAUGAGGGCUGCCCAGUGAAUAAUCUGUGCAGUGUGAUACGGCUGGGUGUACAGGUUACUUCACAGCUGCCUCGACAUACUCAAGAAAUGGGUGCAGAACCUGCGUAAUGCCCACAAACUUUGACUACCACAGCAUCUCCAGAAAGUAAAGGAAUAUGUGUCACAUGGGAUUUUUAAAGGCAUUCACAGUAUAUAAUACCUUGUAUGAACUGUUGUAGAUCUAAGCAGCUUCUACAGUACACUCUCAGAAAUUAAAACUUGUCAGGGAACUGUGAUAAUUGUUUCAGUUAAUAGGCAUGCACAUAUACGCUAUAAGAAGACAAUUAUUUAUUGAGAAUGCACUUCUCUGGCUACUCAUGUUGUUUACAUCUACUGUUGAUCACAUUCAUUUAUCACAUAUUAUAUUCUUAUAUACUAUUAUUAUAUUAUCACAUAUUCGAUCACAUUAAAUUUAAAAUUUAGCAUAUAUGAGAAAAUAUCAGUGGGGAAGUUGCUAUUCAUUGCUCAUUCCAACCUAAAAUUGAGUGCUACAAAGACAGCGUACCUGACCAUUGUCAUUCCUAAAAUAUAUAUUGCCAUUGUAGCAAGGUCACAAAACAAUAAAUGUAGCCUUUUGCGACCUCCCUGCACGUUCAUUGCAUUCUGAAAUGCAUAAGUGCAAGAAAUAAAUCUUGAACUUGAAUAAACUUGAUGUUGUAUAAACUUGACAUAAAAUGUUGAAUAAUAUAAUGAAUGAUGUAAAAUAUUGAAUAAACUUGAACUCGUAUAUUCUC